rnacentral:rRNA from 1 species
UGGGUUCAGAACGUCGUGAGACAGUUCGGUCCCUAUCCGUCGUGGGCGUAGGAAAUUUGAGAGGAGCUGUCCUUAGUACGAGAGGACCGGGAUGGACAUACCUCUGGUGUACCAGUUGUCGUGCCAACGGCAUAGCUGGGUAGCUAUGUGUGGACGGGAUAAGUGCUGAAAGCAUCUAAGCAUGAAGCCCCCCUCAAGAUGAGAUUUCCCAACUUCGGUUAUAAGAUCCCUCAAAGAUGAUGAGGUUAAUAGGUUCGAGGUGGAAGCAUGGUGACAUGUGGAGCUGACGAAUACUAA